AAUUCUUGAAUGUCUUUACAGUUUUAUUUGUUCCAGUUCUGAAUGACAAUACACUUUUUUCCUCAUUAAUAUUUUCACUGUUAGAUUUCUUUAUUCAAUAUGAUCGUAAUUAUACUUGUAAAUGUAGGUCUGAGAUCAAAAUAACUAAUAUCCUAAAUUUUUUUUCCAUAGAAGAAAGUCAUUUCUCUGAACUUUGAGCAUGAGUGCUUUUUUUUAUAAUAGUAAAAACAUAAUAUAUGGCAGUAUCAGAAUAAAUGAGUACAGAUGAAAUAAUUAAUAGCUCAUAUGAAAAUGCUUGCUCAUUCUUUUAAUCCUUUGACAUGGUUAAAUGUAUAAGUAAGAGAUUCUACAUCAACACUGUCUAGUCACUUCACCUGGCCCAAAUGGCUGUAGAAACCAGGUCCUUCCCCGUCCUGUUGGGUUAUUGGAGGAUGGGGUUGGAUGUACUGCGCGACUCGUUUUCACAUCUCCUCUUUUGUCCUCCACAGUGGGUAUCACCACCACGGGGAUAAGUGUGCAUUGCUCAAGUGUACCAUUAGAAGACAUGACUUCAGUGUAUCCUUCUUCACAACUGCAUGUCCUCAUCUGCAGGAGAACAAGAGGAUUUCUACACAUAUAAGGUGAUCUUUGAAAGCAUGACACAAAGGACUUGAAGAGAAGGCUUUCAAGAAGUAUUGUU
rnacentral:lncRNA from 1 species